CAAUAGCGUAUAUUAAAGUUGUUGCAGUUAAAAAGCUCGUAGUUGGAUUUCUGGGAGGGUGCCGCCGUCCGGCGUGUCCGUGUGCAGUGGCGCCCUUCCAUCCUUCUGUUAGCGUCUCUUGGCAUUCAUUUGCUGGUGGCGGGCUCAGAUAUUUUACCUUGAGAAAAUUAGAGUGUUUCAGGCAGGCUAGGCCGGAAUACAUUAGCAUGGAAUAGUGGAAUAGGACUACGGUCUCUUUGUUGGUUUGAGGGACUGCAGUAAUGAUUAAUAGGGAUAGUUGGGGGCAUUAGUAUUUAAUUGUCAGAGGUGGAAUUCUCAGAUUUGUUAAAGACUAACUUAUGCGAAAGCAUUUGCCAAGGAUGUUUUCAUUAA
rnacentral:rRNA from 1 species